UGAAGUGUCAACACGGAGGAGGGCGGAAUGGUUUUCCUGUAUUAACCAGAAGAAUAUGGACCGCAGUGCGAACCACUACAGAAUCUGCAAUAAGCAUUUCAUUUCAGGUCGUCCAUCAUACCUAAUGGAUGAGUCCUAUCCGGACUGGGCGCUCUCGCUUCAUCUUGGGCACGGGAAAGAAAUGAACGGUGACGGCUCGUCAUCUCGGUACACGAAAAGGCGCCGAGCGGAGUGAUCGGGAAGUCCCCUAAAGCAACUGCAUGAGAAUGCACAAGGAAGUAGUGCUGUGCUGGAUUCACCAUUGAUCUCCGAAGACGAUGAAGCGCUUUUUGAUGAUGAUCCUGAUAUCCAAGAGGCUCCUGAUCAAGAAUGCACUGAUGGAGGUUCAAUGUAUCCCAGUCAACUGUGCCUAGGGUUGUCAACAAGUGGAUUGAUGUGGCCUUUGUCCGCCUCUCCCGUGCUGUGAAGUGGCCAGAACCUGAAGAGUUGCAGCUGUAGUGAAGAGGAAGACGAAGAAGACGGCUCUUGUGCUGCUGUGCACGCGAUCAGCGUUCGUGGACUGCCGGUGCAACUAGACUGUGCCUAGUGACUCGUAAUAAAUCCACAUAUUACAUUUGGUGGAGGUGCUUCACUCCCCGACCUCAUCCUGGAACUUAGCAGCCGAACUUUGACAACUGCUCCAGCCGCUACUAUG